rnacentral:rRNA from 1 species
GGGUUCUGAGAGGAAGGUCCCCCACAUUUGAACUGAGACACGGUCCAAACUCCUACGGGAGGCAGCAGUGAGGAAUAUUGGUCAAUGGGCGAGAGCCUGAACCAGCCAAGUAGCGUGCAGGAAGACGGCCCUAUGGGUUGUAAACUGCUUUUAUAAGGGAAUAAAGUGAGUCUCGUGAGACUUUUUGCAUGUACCUUAUGAAUAAGGACCGGCUAAUUCCGUGCCAGCAGCCGCGGUAAUACGGAAGGUCCGGGCGUUAUCCGGAUUUAUUGGGUUUAAAGGGAGCGUAGGCCGGAGAUUAAGCGUGUUGUGAAAUGUAGACGCUCAACGUCUGCACUGCAGCGCGAACUGGUUUCCUUGAGUACGCACAAAGUGGGCGGAAUUCGUGGUGUAGCGGUGAAAUGCUUAGAUAUCACGAAGAACUCCGAUUGCGAAGGCAGCUCACUGGAGCGCAACUGACGCUGAAGCUCGAAAGUGCGGGUAUCGAACAGGAUUAGAUACCCUGGUAGUCCGCACGGUAAACGAUGGAUGCCCGCUGUUGGUCUGAAUAGGCCAGCGGCCAAGCGAAAGCAUUAAGCAUCCCACCUGGGGAGUACGCCGGCAACGGUGAAACUCAAAGGAAUUGACGGGGGCCCGCACAAGCGGAGGAACAUGUGGUUUAAUUCGAUGAUACGCGAGGAACCUUACCCGGGCUUGAAUUGCAGAGGAAGGAUUUGGAGACAAUGACGCCCUUCGGGGCCUCUGUGAAGGUGCUGCAUGGUUGUCGCCAGCUCGUGCCGUGAGGUGUCGGCUUAAGUGCCAUAACGAGCGCAACCCCUCUCCUUAGUUGCCAUCAGGUUAAGCUGGGCACUCUGGGGACACUGCCACCGUAAGGUGUGAGGAAGGUGGGGAUGACGUCAAAUCAGCACGGCCCUUACGUCCGGGGCUACACACGUGUUACAAUGGCAGGUACAGAGAGACGGUCCCUUGCAAAACGGAUCAAAUCCUUAAAGCCUGUCUCAGUUCGGACUGGGGUCUGCAACCCGACCCCACGAAGCUGGAUUCGCUAGUAAUCGCGCAUCAGCCAUGGCGCGGUGAAUACGUUCCCGGGCCUUGUACACACCGCCCGUCAAGCCAUGAAAGCCGGGGGCGCCUAAAGUCCGUGACCGUAAGGAGCGGCCUAGGGCGAAACUGGUAAUUGGGGCUAAGUCGUAACAAGGUA